AGUGAACGCUGGCGGUAGGCCUAACACAUGCAAGUCGAACGGCAGCACAGGAGAGCUUGCUCUCUGGGUGGCGAGUGGCGGACGGGUGAGGAAUACAUCGGAAUCUACUCUGUCGUGGGGGAUAACGUAGGGAAACUUACGCUAAUACCGCAUACGACCUACGGGUGAAAGCAGGGGACCUUCGGGCCUUGCGCGAUUGAAUGAGCCGAUGUCGGAUUAGCUAGUUGGCGGGGUAAAGGCCCACCAAGGCGACGAGCCGUAGCUGGUCUGAGAGGAUGAUCAGCCACACUGGAACUGAGACACGGUCCAGACGCCUACGGGAGGCAGCAGUGGGGAAUAUUGGACAAUGGGCGAAAGCCUGAUCCAGCCAUACCGCGUGGGUGAAGAAGGCCUUCGGGUUGUAAAGCCCUUUUGUUGGGAAAGAAAUCCAGCUGGCUAAUACCCGGUUGGGAUGACGGUACCCAAAGAAUAAGCACCGGCUAACUUCGUGCCAGCAGCCGCCGUAA
rnacentral:rRNA from 1 species